AAGGAUUUAAGUUAAAGAAACUAUUAACCUUCAAAGUUGAAAUUACUUCAAGUAAGCCUUA
rnacentral:tRNA from 1 species